rnacentral:lncRNA from 1 species
ACAGGGUUAAUCCUGUAAAUAUAUUCAUUAUAUUAUAGUAUUCAUAUAUUCAUAUUACAUAGAUUUAAAAUCUAUGUAAUAUAAACAACAAUUGAUAGAUCUGUAAUUUAUUGAUGCAUGAUUUCACAUUAAUAUAUGAACUUGGUGAAGAUCUAAUUGUCUGUAUCUCCCCCGACUCCUCUUUUUUUUAUUCAGACGUCAUGAUGCAGUUCAUUCAUCUCUGUCUGGUUCUGGCAACAGUCCAGCUGCUCUUGGUCUCAGCAGAGGUGAUACCUUUGCCAGAGGGAGUCAACGUCAUAUUUUCGCUACCAGGAAGCUUUGAAUCUUGUACCAAACAUGGCUGUGGGAACUUUGUGAGUUGUGUGUCUGAGCUAAAUCAAGGAAGCAACAACAUGUUGGCGUUGGACAACCUUGUGCUGUCUGACAGUGGCAGCUACUGCUGCAGAACCUCCAACGACGACUGUGGACUGGAGCUGAACGUAGUAAGAGGUUGUAUAAAGUCAUUUCUCAUUGAUGUUGAGUUUACACAAGAUCACACACUGGAAAUAAAAGGAGGUACAACAGACGACUGUAUGAAAGCCUGUACGUACGACACGACCUGCCAAUACUUCACAUUUAUUAAAAGCAAAGGACAAUGUUCUCUUAUGGGGUCGAAAGGUCCUCUGAGGAUAAAACGUAACAGCGACGCCAUCUCAGGCUACUCACGCAAACGCUGCUGCACUCCUGAGUUCAUCUACCAAAAUGGGUCAGAAAAGCCAAACGAUGUUCAAGGAAGCCUGAAUCUUCAGUUUCACAAUGAAUCUAAAAGCUGGUUUGAAGCCUUCGGGUUCUGCCGCACACAGAAGCAGACACUGGUUCAAAUCACUAAUGACACAGUGAUGAACAAUGUGACACACCUCCAGCAAAAUGAGACAGUCACACAGAACGGGGUGUGGGUCGGUCUGGAACGCCCCAUCUUUGGCUGUGACACCACCUGGAGGUGGAUUUCAGGAGGAAGUGUUAACACGUCUCAGUGGAACAGCAGCUCUCCUCCAUCCUCCACUAACAAAUACUGUGGGAAGAUAAUCUGGGUGAACGAGACACGAACAAUCAAACUGCUUGAUGACGACUGUUUUAAUAAGUUGCCUUUCAUCUGCCAAGGUUCUACAUAAAUCUUUUGUUGAAUGGACGCUGUUCACUUCAAUUCUUUUUGAAUCGUAUGUUAUUAUUUAUGUUAAUUUUCUAGUUUUCUAUUGCAGCAUCAUGAGAAACAUGAUGAAGUUGUAUGUCUACUGUGGUUCAUGUGUAUAUAUGACAUAUUUUAUUUCCAUUAGUAUAAUUAAUAAAAUUGUCUUUAGCAACA